GAUAACUGGCUUGUGGCAGCCAAGCGUUCAUAGCGACGUUCCUUUUUUAUUCCUUCGAUGUCGGCUCUUCCUAUAAUUGUGAAGCAGAAUUCACCAAGUGUUGGAUUGUUCACCCACCAAUAGGGAACGUGAGCUGGGUUUAGACCGUCGUGAGACAGGUU
rfam:Nicotiana attenuata strain TT chromosome 7, whole genome shotgun sequence.